rnacentral:rRNA from 1 species
GUGGGGAAUCUUCCGCAAUGGACGAAAGUCUGACGGAGCAACGCCGCGUGAGUGAAGAAGGUUUUCGGAUCGUAAAGCUCUUUCGUUAGGGACGAACGUGCUCUUUGUGAAUAAUGAGGAGUAAUGACGGUACCUAAAUAAGAAGCCACGGCUAACUACGUGCCAGCAGCCGCGGUAAUACGUAGGUGGCAAGCGUUGUCCGGAAUUAUUGGGCGUAAAGCGCGCGCAGGCGGGAUAUCAAGUCUGUCUUAAAAGUGCGAGGCUCAACCUCGUGAGGGGACAGAAACUGGUAUUCUUGAGUGUCGGAGAGGAAAGUGGAAUUCCAAGUGUAGCGGUGAAAUGCGUAGAGAUUUGGAAGAACACCAGUGGCGAAGGCGACUUUCUGGACUGUAACUGACACUGAGGCACGAAAGCGUGGGUAGCAAACAGGAUUAGAUACCCUGGUAGUCC